rnacentral:rRNA from 1 species
AUUGAACGCUGGCGGCAGGCCUAACACAUGCAAGUCGAACGAGUGGCGGACGGGUGAGUAAUGUCUGGGCAACUGCCUGAUGGAGGGGGAUAACUACGGGAAACGGUGGCUAAUACCGCAUACCAUCAGAUGUGCCCAGAUGGGAUUAGCGAGUUGGUGGGGUAACGGCUUACCAAGGCGACGAUCCCUAGCUGGUCUGAGAGGAUGACCAGCCACACGGGAACUGAGACACGGUCCAGACUCCUACGGGAGGCAGCAGUGGGGAAUAUUGCACAAUGGGCGAAAGCCUGAUGCAGCCAUGCCGCGUGUAUGAAGAAGGCUUUCGGGUUGUAAAGUACUUUCAGCGGGGAGGCGUUACCCGCAGAGGAAGCACCGGCUAACUCCGUGCCAGCAGCCGCGGUAAUAC